rnacentral:rRNA from 1 species
UACCAGCUCUCCGAGUGGUGUGGAUGUUUAUUGGGCCUAAAGCAUCCGUAGCUGGCUGGGCAAGUCCCCUGUUAAAUCCACCGAUUUAAUCGUUGGAGUGCGGGGGAUACUGUUCGGCUAGGGGACGGGAGAGGCAGACGGUAUUUUCGGGGUAGGGGUGAAAUCCUAUAAUCCCGGGAAGACCACCAGUGGCGAAGGCUGUCUGCUAGAACGCGCCCGACGGUGAGGGAUGAAAGCUGGGGGAGCGAACCGGAUUAGAUACCCGGGUAGUCCCAGCUGUAAACGAUGCAGGCUAGGUGUUUGGGCGGCCACGUGCCGCUCUAGUGCUGCAGGGAAGCCGUUAAGCCUGCCGCCUGGGGAGUACGGCCGCAAGGCUGAAACUUAAAGGAAUUGGCGGGGGAGCACCACAAGGGGUGAAGCUUGCGGUUU